AGUCACCUAUACCUUAUUACCUCUCUUAUUGGAGGAUAUGAAGAGGCUCAACUAAAAUGCAGUGCAAUGCAAUUAUUUUAUUAAACAAAGAUUAUCCUCCAAUAAGAGAGGUAAUAAGGUAUAGGUGACUUGGCAAAAGCGCAUAGGUUAGACAAUACUACAAGGAAACCCAUGACAGCAAAGCAAGCCAAACAUCAUGAAAGUCCGUUCCCACAAUAUAAGAAGGACGCAUCUCGAUCCAAAUCACAAAUAUGCCACCGCAAAAAGACAAAGAUGAAAGUGGUUGCCACCAAAAAUAAAUAAACAAAUCAAAUCAGUGCAAGUGCCUCGUGCAUCCUCCACUAAUUACAUGUCAGUGUCGGCUGGGCCCCACAUUAGCCACGCCUACAAGUAACAGCCGUUCCAAUUCGUCCCCGUUUUCUCACGAUAUAACACUACUUCUCACACUUGUUUACCGUCUCAUUUUGUUUAUUUAGCUGUCUCGUUGUCCGUAUCCCUACCAAGAUAUGUGGGUCUUUCCAAGCUCCAGCUUCUAACAAGAAACCAUCAAACAAAAAAA
rnacentral:misc_RNA from 1 species